UAGGUGGUUUGUUACGUCGGUUGUGAAAUUCAGGCCGCUCAACCCCCGACUUGCAGCCGAUACGGGCAAGCUAGAGUUUGGUAGGGGAGACUGGAAUUCCUGGUGUAGCGGUGGAAUGCGCAGAUAUCAGGAGGAACACCGAUGGCGAAGGCAGGUCUCUGGGCCAAUACUGACACUGAGGAGCGAAAGCGUGGGGAGCGAACAGGAUUAGAUACCCUGGUAGUCCACGCCGUAAACGGUGGGCGCUAGUUGUGCGAACCUUCCACGGUUUGUGCGACGCAGCUAACGCAUUAAGCGCCCCGCCUGGGGAGUACGAUCGCAAGAUUAAAACUCAAAGGAAUUGACGGGGCCCCGCACAAGCAGCGGAGCAUGCGGCUUAAUUCGACGCAACGCGAAGAACCUUACCAAGGCUUGACAUAUACAGGAAUAUGGCAGAGAUGUCAUAGCCGCAAGGUCUGUAUACAGGUGGUGCAUGGUUGUCGUCAGCUCGUGUCGUGAGAUGUUGGGUUAAGUCCCGCAACGAGCGCAACCCUCGUUCUGUGUUGCCAGCAUUUAGUUGGGGACUCACAGGAGACUGCCGGGGUUAACUCGGAGGAAGGUGGGGAUGACGUCAAAUCAUCAUGCCCCUUAUGUCUUUGGGCUGCACGCAUGCUACAAUGGCUGGUACAAACGGCUGCGAUACCGCAAGGUGGAGCGAAUCCGAU
rnacentral:rRNA from 1 species